rnacentral:rRNA from 1 species
UACAGAGGAUGCAAGCGUUAUCCGGAAUGAUUGGGCGUAAAGCGUCUGUAGGUGGCUUUUUAAGUCCGCCGUCAAAUCCCAGGGCUCAACUCUGGACAGGCGGUGGAAACUACCAAGCUAGAGUACGGUAGGGGCAGAGGGAAUUUCCGGUGUAGCGGUGAAAUGCGUAGAUAUCGGAAGGAACACCUGUGGCGAAAGCGGCUCACUGGACCAUUACUGACGCUGAGGCACGAAAGCUAGGGGAGCAAACAGG